AUUGAACGCUGGCGGCAGGCCUAACACAUGCAAGUCGAACGAGUGGCGGACGGGUGAGUAAUGUCUGGGAAACUGCCUGAUGGAGGGGGAUAACUACUGGAAACGGUAGCUAAUACCGCAUACCAUCAGAUGUGCCCAGAUGGGAUUAGCUAGUUGGUGGGGUAACGGCUCACCAAGGCGACGAUCCCUAGCUGGUCUGAGAGGAUGACCAGGCACACUGGAACUGAGACAAGGUCCAGAACUCGACGGGAGGCAGCAGUGGGGAAUAUUGGACAAAGGGCGCAAGGCUGGUGAAGCCAUGCCGCGUGUAUGAAGAAGGCCUUCGGGUUUUAAAGGACGUUAAGCGGGGAGGCGUUACCCGCCGAAGAAGCACCGGCUAACUCCGUGCCAGCAGCCGCGGUAAUUC
rnacentral:rRNA from 1 species